AUCGCUUCUCGGCCUUUUGGCUAAGAUCAAGUGUAGAAUCAUUACCCAAAAUAAUGUUAAAUAUGUUUUCAAUAUGUUAAUGCUAAUGGUUACUUUCU
ensembl:snRNA LOC120100367 U2 spliceosomal RNA